CUGCACGCCAGCUCGCUGCUCAGCUGCUCUCACCGCCACCUUCCACCACAGGCCCAGAAGCCAGGAGAUGGCUAAGUCAAUAAAGCACUUGAUGCAGAAGUCUGAGUACCCGAGUUCAGCCCCUAGAACUCACAUGAAAAUGUCAGAGUGCUGCUGACUGACUUUCCCUUCUCUGUCAUCUUGGCUGUGCCUCAUGGGACCCACAUAUCUGAUGGGUCGGUCACCAAAGAGAGCCCCCAGCUCAGGACUGCAGCCUGGAGCGCUGACCUAAAGGUCACUGUCUGGGUUGCUGAGCUCCUGGAUGAACUUGCUGCCUGCCUCUUCUGCAUCACUUUCCCUAAUUUCCGGAGCCAGGGAGGGAGAGAUGACAUCACCCAGGCUCCUCCAAACCUGGGCUCUCUUGGGUGUGGAACUGUCUCUGCACUGUCUCAGAUAUCUGUGCGGCUUAAACCCAAGCAGACACUGUCCUCCACAUAGGAGGCCCC
ensembl:lncRNA